UCGGCGCUGGCGAAGAGCUGCUGCGCGGUGAGGCCGGCCUCGGACACGUAGCGGGUGCUGCCGCUGAUCAGGUUCAAGGAGUACAUGUGCAAGUUUUCAAGUUUUUUACCUGGUUAAUCACAAACAUCUAUAACUACCAAACACAGCUUCUGAACAGCAUUGAGUGUUUGUCAUUCUACCCUGAAAUAAUGUGAUUACAACAGAAGCAAGAUUUCUUCCAGAGCCAGUGUCACCAAAGUAUAUACUUAGAUGACAAACCAGGGGUUCCUGCCACAGUUUUGCCACUGUGCCUGCUCCUCAGCCACAUCAUUCCAUGUAGCCAUUUUAGCCAGGGCAUCAUUGACCAAGGUCUGACAAUUAUGAGAAGAAUAGAAGAUCCUGUGAAGCCAUUAUUAGCUCUUGACUCAAUGGCAACAGCCCUUUUUUCCAUUUGAACUAACGCAGUUGUAAAACCUUGGGCAAGUAGUUCAAUGUGCCUGGACCUCAGUUUCCCUCAACUAUGCAAUGCAAUUAAUAAAUCCUACCUCUCAAAAGCAGAUUGUUCUAAAUAUUUACUGAGAU
rnacentral:lncRNA from 10 species